UACGUAGGGGGCUAGCGUUGUCCGGAAUCAUUGGGCGUAAAGAGCGUGUAGGCGGUCCGGUAAGUCCGCUGUGAAAGUCGGGGGCUCAACCCUCGAAUGCCGGUGGAUACUGUCGGGCUAGAGUCCGGAAGAGGCGAGUGGAAUUCCUGGUGUAGCGGUGGAAUGCGCAGAUAUCAGGAAGAACACCCGUGGCGAAGGCGGCUCUCUGGGACGGUACUGACGCUGAGACGCGAAAGCGUGGGGAGCGAACAGG
rnacentral:rRNA from 1 species